GGUUAAGCGACCAAGCGUACACGGUGGAUGCCCUGGCAGUCAGAGGCGAUGAAGGACGUGCUAAUCUGCGAAAAGCGCCGGUAAGGUGAUAUGAACCGUUAUAACCGGCGAUGUCCGAAUGGGGAAACCCAGUGUGACUCGUCACACUAUCAUUAACUGAAUCCAUAGGUUAAUGAGGCGAACCGGGGGAACUGAAACAUCUAAGUACCCCGAGGAAAAGAAAUCAACCGAGAUUCCCCCAGUAGCGGCGAGCGAACGGGGAGGAGCCCAGAGCCUGAAUCAGCAUGUGUGUUAGUGGAAGCGUCUGGAAAGGCGCGCGAUACAGGGUGAGAGCCCCGUACACAAAAGCGCACAUGCUGUGAGCUCGAUGAGUAGGGCGGGACACGUGGUAUCCUGUCUGAAUAUGGGGGGACCAUCCUCCAAGGCUAAAUACUCCUGACUGACCGAUAGUGAACCAGUACCGUGAGGGAAAGGCGAAAAGAACCCCGGCGAGGGGAGUGAAACAGAACCUGAAACCGUGUACGUACAAGCAGUGGGAGCCUCUCUUUAUGGGGGGUGACUGCGUACCUUUUGUAUAAUGGGUCAGCGACUUAUAUUCUGUAGCAAGGUUAACCGCAUAGGGGAGCCGAAGGGAAACCGAGUCUUAACCGGGCGUUAAGUUGCAGGGUAUAGACCCGAAACCCGGUGAUCUAGCCAUGGGCAGGUUGAAGGUUGGGUAACACUAACUGGAGGACCGAACCGACUAAUGUUGAAAAAUUAGCGGAUGACCUGUGGCUGGGGGUGAAAGGCCAAUCAAACCGGGAGAUAGCUGGUUCUCCCCGAAAGCUAUUUAGGUAGCGCCUCGUGAAUUCAUCUCCGGGGGUAGAGCACUGUUUCGGCUAGGGGGCCAUCCCGGCUUACCAACCCGAUGCAAACUGCGAAUACCGGAGAAUGUUAUCACGGGAGACACACGGCGGGUGCUAACGUCCGUCGUGAAGAGGGAAACAACCCAGACCGCCAGCUAAGGUCCCAAAGUCAUGGUUAAGUGGGAAACGAUGUGGGAAGGCCCAGACAGCCAGGAUGUUGGCUUAGAAGCAGCCAUCAUUUAAAGAAAGCGUAAUAGCUCACUGGUCGAGUCGGCCUGCGCGGAAGAUGUAACGGGGCUAAACCAUGCACCGAAGCUGCGGCAGCGACACUGUGUGUUGUUGGGUAGGGGAGCGUUCUGUAAGCCGUUGAAGGUGUGUCGUGAGGCAUGCUGGAGGUAUCAGAAGUGCGAAUGCUGACAUAAGUAACGAUAAAGCGGGUGAAAAGCCCGCUCGCCGGAAGACCAAGGGUUCCUGUCCAACGUUAAUCGGGGCAGGGUGAGUCGACCCCUAAGGCGAGGCCGAAAGGCGUAGUCGAUGGGAAACGGGUUAAUAUUCCCGUACUUGGUGUUACUGCGAAGGGGGGACGGAGAAGGCUAUGUUGGCCGGGCGACGGUAGUCCCGGUUUAAGCGUGUAGGUGUGUGUUCCAGGUAAAUCCGGUUCACUUUAACACUGAGGCGUGAUGACGAGGCACCACGGUGCUGAAGCAACAAAUGCCCUGCUUCCAGGAAAAGCCUCUAAGCAUCAGGUAACAUCAAAUCGUACCCCAAACCGACACAGGUGGUCAGGUAGAGAAUACCAAGGCGCUUGAGAGAACUCGGGUGAAGGAACUAGGCAAAAUGGUGCCGUAACUUCGGGAGAAGGCACGCUGACACGUAGGUGAAGUGAUUUACUCAUGGAGCUGAAGUCAGUCGAAGAUACCAGCUGGCUGCAACUGUUUAUUAAAAACACAGCACUGUGCAAACACGAAAGUGGACGUAUACGGUGUGACGCCUGCCCGGUGCCGGAAGGUUAAUUGAUGGGGUCAGCGCAAGCGAAGCUCCUGAUCGAAGCCCCGGUAAACGGCGGCCGUAACUAUAACGGUCCUAAGGUAGCGAAAUUCCUUGUCGGGUAAGUUCCGACCUGCACGAAUGGCGUAAUGAUGGCCAGGCUGUCUCCACCCGAGACUCAGUGAAAUUGAACUCGCUGUGAAGAUGCAGUGUACCCGCGGCAAGACGGAAAGACCCCGUGAACCUUUACUAUAGCUUGACACUGAACAUUGAGCCUUGAUGUGUAGGAUAGGUGGGAGGCUUUGAAGCGUGGACGCCAGUCUGCGUGGAGCCGACCUUGAAAUACCACCCUUUAAUGUUUGAUGUUCUAACGUGGACCCGUAAUCCGGGUUGCGGACAGUGUCUGGUGGGUAGUUUGACUGGGGCGGUCUCCUCCUAAAGAGUAACGGAGGAGCACGAAGGUUGGCUAAUCCUGGUCGGACAUCAGGAGGUUAGUGCAAUGGCAUAAGCCAGCUUGACUGCGAGCGUGACGGCGCGAGCAGGUGCGAAAGCAGGUCAUAGUGAUCCGGUGGUUCUGAAUGGAAGGGCCAUCGCUCAACGGAUAAAAGGUACUCCGGGGAUAACAGGCUGAUACCGCCCAAGAGUUCAUAUCGACGGCGGUGUUUGGCACCUCGAUGUCGGCUCAUCACAUCCUGGGGCUGAAGUAGGUCCCAAGGGUAUGGCUGUUCGCCAUUUAAAGUGGUACGCGAGCUGGGUUUAGAACGUCGUGAGACAGUUCGGUCCCUAUCUGCCGUGGGCGCUGGAGAAUUGAGGGGGGCUGCUCCUAGUACGAGAGGACCGGAGUGGACGCAUCACUGGUGUUCGGGUUGUCAUGCCAAUGGCACUGCCCGGUAGCUAAAUGCGGAAAAGAUAAGUGCUGAAAGCAUCUAAGCACGAAACUUGCCCCGAGAUGAGUUCUCCCUGAGACUUUGAGUCUCCUGAAGGAACGUUAAAGACGAUGACGUUGAUAGGCCGGGUGUGUAAGCGCAGCGAUGCGUUGAGCUAACCGGUACUAAUGAACCGUGAGGCUUAACCUU
rnacentral:rRNA from 1 species